rnacentral:rRNA from 2 species
CAACUUUCAACAAUGGAUCUCUUGGUUCUGGCAUCGAUGAAGAACGCAGCGAAAUGCGAUAAGUAGUGUGAAUUGCAGAAUUCAGUGAAUCAUCGAAUCUUUGAACGCACAUUGCGCCCCUUGGUAUUCCAUGGGGCAUGCCUGUUCGAGCGUCAU